rnacentral:rRNA from 1 species
AAAGCAGGGGACCGCAAGGCCUUGCGCUCUUUGAGCGGCCGAUGUCAGAUUAGCUAGUUGGUGAGGUAAAGGCUUACCAAGGCGACGAUCUGUAGCGGGUCUGAGAGGAUGAUCCGCCACACUGGAACUGAGACACGGUCCAGACUCCUACGGGAGGCAGCAGUGGGGAAUUUUGGACAAUGGGCGCAAGCCUGAUCCAGCCAUGCCGCGUGAGUGAAGAAGGCCUUCGGGUUGUAAAGCUCUUUCGGCCGGGAAGAAAUCGCAUGGGUUAAUACCUGGAGUAGAUGACGGUACCCGCAUAAGAAGCACCGGCUAACUACGUG